GGUUUCCUCUGUUAAGUCUGUGCAAGGGGACACCAUAUUUCACUCUAGGAAACAGUACCCUUUCCUGGCAUCAGCUUGCGAGGUUAUCAAACGGACAGUGAGCAAGAGCCUCACAAGAGACCGGGGCGAUGUGCCGGCUCUCGCCACCACCUUCCUGGCACGUCCUGAGUUCAGAUUUCCAAGCCCAGCAAACUGGAUAGCCUGAAUACUAACUACCUCUCAGGAAAGCAGACAGCCGCACGCAGACACCACGUCCAAACCACACGCAGCUCAGCUCUGCUGUGUUUCCAUGACGUACUUGCCUAUCCAGGAAGUCUUCAACCGAGGCCACCCAAGCUUGCUCUGCAAACCACCGGGCCUUUCUGCCUUCAAAGGAGAAAAGCUUCAGAGACAUUCUUACAGACUUUUUGGAAAGUAUUCUGGAAAAGAAAACAUGGCUGGAGAUUUCUGGUGAUUAUUAAUCUUGGAAAAACAAGCGGUGGUCUCAAAGCCAAUGUUGGCAGGCAGACCCUCCUGGUCCUAGAAACCGCCUUCUCAGAUGGAGCCCUUGUGGGGAAUCCUUGUGUGGAAGCCAAGAACAGGGCUUGGCACGAACAGGAUGGUAGAGGUCACAGCAACCAGGCUUGGAAGACCAUAGGAACAAGCUCAUGACCAAAGCAUGGUAUGAAACCAACAGCGUGAGUUAGGACUUGGUCCCUCCAUGUAUAAACCCUCCCAAACCAAGCAGAAUCCCUUUUCAUGAUUAAGUCAUGGUUGACAGAGAUAUAAAAGACCUGCAAAACCAGAGUAAUCCAUUCGUAUUCCACACAGAAGGCCCACUACUGACUUCUCAGAACAACAACUCAGGAAAAGAAUGGCAUUCUGGUUUUUCAGAGCUAUAACAAAUGUCAAUUAAUCAGCCUGACUUACAAUGUAAAUGAACCAGCUACUAGUUCUUGCAGACAAACUGUUUUCAAUGACAUCAUUAUGACUGAACAUUAAUCUGUCUGUACGAUAUAUGAAAGAGCACACAGGAUAAUGGCUUUCCUGUAUCGUCAAGGCCCAACUAAAACAAA